rnacentral:rRNA from 1 species
CCUAGGGGAGGCAGCAGUAGGGAAUAUUGGGCAAUGGGCGAAAGCCUGACCCAGCGACGCCGCGUGAGGGAUGAAGGUCUUCGGGUUGUAAACCUCUUUCAGUAGGGAAGAAGCGAAAGUGACGGUACCUAAAGAAGAAGCACCGGCUAACUAUGUGCCAGCAGCCGCGG